rnacentral:lncRNA from 1 species
GCUGAUUUUCUUUGAUUGACUUUGAACAGGUCCUUCGGCUAGGCGCAAAGUUCUAAUGGAUAGUCCUACGGACUCCGGACGGGGGAACCGAAGGCGCAAAGAAUAUUGCCCAUAUUGCCUCUCGUCUUAUUCCACUACUUAAGAAAAGCAAAGAAUAUUGCGAUGAAUCAUAUUUGAAAGGCGGUCGAUGAGCAAAGAAUUUGCACGGAGGCGCAAUGAAAUAUGCGAUUGAGAGUAGGUGCUUUUUCUGAGGGGUGAGGGGUAAAUCAAGAGGUCGUAUUGGUCGUGGAGCAGGCCACGAGGAAGGGUUACGGUUCGACUUCAAUCAAUUCGGAGAUUGAGAAUAAUCUAAGAGAAGGUUGCCAGUGAGGUGGUUCAUGUGAGAGAGGAAGAUAGCCACUGAAUAAGGAUAAUCAUCUUUCUUCUGCAUAAGCUUGUUAAGAUGACAACUGGAUAAGCUGCAUCAUAAGAUAAGCUUUCCACGGAUUCAAAGGGCUAGUAGGCCCCAUGGCAUGUAGACCUCGCUCCAGCCUUUGCCUCAGACAUUCUUCUUCAGUCGAGCUAUUUCAUAACCUAGGCUUUCUCUUUGGACGGAGGCUGAAUUCAUUGAGAGAACUUAUCCUAUUUUAUGUCUUUUAUUGAGGCUAGGGCAACUAUUUCUCAAAAAUACAAAAGAUGUAAAAGCUCGGGGAGUCAGACGAAGGAUUAAUCUCUGCACAAUAAGGAAGAGAGCAGAAUCAAUGAACAUCCAUAAAAGAAAUUAGGGGCUGCUGCUUAUCCAGUUGUCAAUACAGCUUCGGGCUUGAAAGCAUUGAGGCAGGCAUAAGCCGGCCCAUCAACCUAGCCCCUCUUAUGAGAAUAAGGCACAUAAGGCGCAAAGAAUAUUGCGGAAAAGAAUAUUGAAAAUGAAAACAUCCGUCAAAAUUAGGGUUGUGAACUAAUCUUAGAGCACUCAAAAAAAGUACCAUACCUUGGGCGGAUAGCGGGAAUCGAAGGAUUGCGGGCAGGACAAUGAAAACUGACUAACCCCCUGUACCCUCACCUCAUUACUCUGAGGAAUUGCUUGAACUGCUAGUGAGAGAUGGAAUCGAAGCAGUAGAAAAUGGUAAAGGAAGGACCGCUACGUGGGCAUCUGGAAGUCAUCUUCACCCUUGUUUUUGGUCAGGUAUAACUAUUGAACUCGGGGCUGAUUACUCUACUCUACUGCCUUAGCUAGAGGUCGAUCGGCCCAAAACCAUACUCUAUUUCAUCCGUGGAUUCCUAAGUCUCUAUACUCUAUUCUAUAUACGCAAAUCCUUCCUUUCCUCGCUGGAAUUGAAACCUAAAAGAAAUACGAAUUGAAUUUUGAUGGGACGUGGAAUAGGUCAAGGUUGAGGGUAGAGUUACCGCUACGUGGGCUGCUCCAGGGAAGACCCCGGACGGAAAGAGAGAUAGAAAGAGAGUUCGAUCCGAAACAUAAGAACGAAAGAAGAAAGGAUUAAGGAAGACUCCGCGAACAAAGCCCUUGGGAAAGAGAUCUCAUUCUUUGAAUUGAGUGCUAUGCAUUCACAAAAAAGAGAAAGGAAGAAGACUCCUAACCGUCCGAAGGACUAUUCAUCAUAUUUGAGAGGUUAAACUGGGGGUCUCACUUCAAGUUCGAGAUCUGACUCAUGGAGUGACUCAAAAAAGAUAACUUAGAAGAAUGCCAGCAUUUCGGAGUAGAUAUAUUUAUAGUAGUUCUAGCAAAAAAAUAGUUCACACCUGUCCUCCGGACUACGGAUAAAUCACCUGGACCUUUCUUUGGCCCUGCGGACUCCGGACUGCGGACUACGGACUUCUUCUUCUUUAAAAGGAAGGGUCCAGGUUUCAUAAGACUCCUUCUACGCGGUCUCGCAAUAUUCUUUUCACUGGGGGAGGCUCAAUGCAAUUUGAGUUGCGACUUUCACGAAAAACCCUGAUAAGUGAACCCAGGUCUCGCUACCAAACCAUCCCGUGUAGUGGGAUCGAGCCCCUUACGAGCACUGUCGCAGGGGAGUCGUUGGUUCCGCUUGCUCUUUCAGUACGAGGAUAGAGAAAGAAAGGCUCGCGAUAAGCCUUGGCUUUGAGAUGAGGCGAGGCGGAGUGGCUGAUCAGCUAGGGCAAUUCCCUUUCUUCAGUGCUUUGGCUCUUUCCUUAUUUUAUUGUGAAAUAAACUUAGCUGCCUAACGCCUUUCUGAAAAUCAAAGGAGAUUUCUUGGUCGAAACCAAAGCACUGAACUUAGUCGCGAAGAAGAAGCGAGACCCCUCCGGAGGAGAAGGAUAGGGGUUCAAAGAAUAUUGAAGCAAGGAGCAAAGAAUAUUGCGAGACCUCAGGAGUCUGAGAUCAAUGAAUGAGUGGAGUAUGAAAGAUCAGAGUGAAUAGGAGAGAGAGAAGAGAAAGAAAGGGCUUGUCCCCCACGGAGCAGGGGAAGUAACUGCAAGCUUUCUUUCCACCUUUGCCGAAUAGGGGUGGUUGCGGGCAUUGAAAGAAUGGGUUGGGGCCCUAGCUUCUUGAGGCAGUGCCAGUCGCAGUUCUCGUUCUUGAAGUUCUUCUUUCAACUCAUCCGCCUUUGGAGGUUAGCUAUAGCUAGGCCCAUAAUGAAUUAGACUAGAAGCAAGCUCGACCUCUGUAAUAGUACAAGCAGAAGAAAUCCAAAAACUCUACAUAUUAAGCUGUAAAAUCAAUAUAUAAGGAUCUUUGAGCUUAACUAAGGCGCAAAGAAUAUUGCGAAGGCUCAAUUUGAGGAGGAAAGAAUAUUGCGGAAAAGAAGAAAGGAGCGCAAGGCGCAAAGUUCGGUUAAUUACGGAAAGUCCGGAGGACAGAUAAAGAAAGGCUUUUGAUUUGACUUUUCCAACUCCGUUCCAGUUCGCCAAGGAGUGUGAGUCUUGAGCGGAGGCAUAAAAAGCCGAAUCAUAAAGACGGAGCACCACCCACUCUUUUUGAAAGGGAGAAAACGACUCAAAAAAAGAGGAGCAUCUCCAUGGGCGAGGACUCUUUGGACGGAGGACGAGGAUCAGAAAUCAAGAAAGCACUACGCGGGAAGAAUGGAUAUUGUCUUAGGAGCAGCGAGACCGCGGAAGGACGAGUCUUAUUCCACCAAGGACCACGACGGAGCAGCUCGCAUAUUGAAUUGGGCCUCCUCGAAUAUGAAUUCAUCCUAACAAAAAGAAGAAAUAUCCUCUCCGUUAGGCGCAAAGAAUUUGCGAAGGACUAUCCAUAUUAACCUGUGACGCCUUCUGACUAUUCAUCAUAUUUUUAAGAAAGCACUGGACUUUUCUUUCUCUUUGACAAUUGUAAAAGAAGGUGAAAUAUCCUUUAUAGGUCUGACCUUUCAAAGGUAAGAGGUCAAAGCAAAGCAAGCUUGCGAAGCAAGCGAGGCAAGAGCUUCUUUCAGCUUUUCCCGAACCAUUUGAACUCCAAUUUUUUCCUCUGCUGCUUUCAGCCCACUCCACUUCAUUGACCGAGACUUUCUAUUCGGUUAAAGACCUAGCCACGAGACCAACUCCUGUCUUCUGAGAUCAAUUCCCAGAUGCUUCGAGGCCGCAAGCUUCUUUAGUUUAGAGAAGGAGAUUUCUUCUGAAUCAGGGAAACUGCUCAACCGGAACUCUUCCCAUAGGCAUGAUUAUGCACUAGCAAGUUCCAAGAAGAGAAGUCAUAAGCCAAAGAUGUAUUCGAUCCUGAAUUUCAGGUAAUCUUGGCCGAUUGGUGGGCCCACGUAGGGCUUUGAUGAGCGAAAGAGCAUCCUCAACUCCCAGUCCCGGGUAAAGGUCAAGGUCUUUCAAAAGUCCAGAGAAGAAUUUUCAAUGGAAAGGAGUCAAGUUCAUCCGCAGGGAAGGCAAUCCAAUCGUCGGAAGAAGCGUCUUUCAAAAUCAAGCUCAUCCUCAUCAUUCAAGGCAUAUUUCAUUCCGCCUCAGUCCUAUCCAUAUUAACCCAGAGACUGUUAAGGAGUGCAACUGAUUAAUGGAAAAAAAUAGUCAUUUGAGAAAGAUUCUCUAGACAAAAACCUCCCUAGCUAGCUGCAAUCCAAACCUCACCUCUCCCAUGUUGGGAAUUCUCUUCUGCUCGUGGAUAUCUAAUGCUAGAAGUUCGAGCAAAUAUAAGGAAGCCGCAGGCUUAGGUUCGUCAUUUAUUGACGGAUUUUCCGGGCUUAAAUGACUUUCUUUUUCCUUCUACCAAUCCCAGUUCGGCUAAGACGAGGCAAUGUAUAUUGUUUUCAGUGGCACGAGCUUCUUCUUGUGAUGAGACUUUGGAUCAAUUGAACCGGGUCCAGGGGUUGACUCUAUGGCUAUUCCGCUUUUUCCGACAGCUGCUAACUCACUGGCACGCUUAAGGCCCUUGCGCCUGGUCUUUCAAAGCCUUGGGCUUGAGCAAGGUUCGAAUUCCGGGUUUUAUAUAUAUAUAAAAGGUGGGAGAACUCCGAGCAAUAUUCUUUCCUCCUUGCCUCUCUUUUCAAAUGCUCUUAAAUAAAGAGCGGUUACGCCAUCAACAGCGAAAUCGAUGGCACUCGCCUUCUUUCAGCAUUGAAUAAGUAACUUCCUUUCCCACCUCUCCCUUCCGCUGCUAAGCAGAAUAUAGCUCUUCUUCCUUUCCUCCCGGGUGAAGAAAAGCCUAUUCACCUUUGCUUUAAUGGCGAAGGACUCUUUCUGGUAUAAGGCGAUUCAAUCUUCUUUGAACCUAGUGAACAUCUUCUUUUGAUUGCUAAACUCUACUUGAGACUUUCCCUUUGAAUCCCUUCUAUCCUUCCCUCCUUACCUCUGUCUACAGAGCCCAUCUAAAUGCCUCAGCCUAAGACAUCUCAGUGGAAUGCCUCUAAUGAGCUCUUUCCGGCAGCAAGUCUCGGGUAUUCUAUCCUCCCAUACAUCCUUCCGACAAGGCAUGAAAUAGCAUAAGAUAAGGCUUCGCUACCUGACUUCUCAGCCAUUCUAUAAGCUAUAAGAAAAGUCAAGAGUAAUCAAAUCGAUAGUUAUUACGGAUCUCAUAUUCCUUAUUAACCUUGGCUACACCAUCAGUCAUUUCCUUUUUGACUACCCCAUAACCUUCUCUUGCUUGGUGUUCCAACCAAGCCGGCAUCCGAGCGGCCCACGGAGAAAAUGAGAAAAGGAAAGAGGAAAUUUCCCUUGAGCCACAGAAGAGAAGACAAAGGAUUAGCCUUUGACUAUGCUCAGGCUUCACACCAAGUCAAUCCUAUAUAUAUUCUUUGCACCUCUCCUUUCAUUCAAUAUUCUUUGAACCUUCUUCAUUGAGCGGAGGACUUAUCCUCUUAUUAGUUUCUUUCUAGUCUUUACAAUCAUCAAGACCUCCGGACCGAUCGGUCUAUAAUAUCCAAGCAAGAACAACGGACACUUCAACCGCAGUAGACCAUUUCCCAUAUGGUGGUCUUUCUUCACCCUUUGGAGGAUUGGAGGUCUUACUCCGCGCGCCCUUUUCUGUACGGGUACGUGCCCUUUAUCGUCUUUCUUUUCCGCCUAAGAUUCCUUGUUUAAUACGAGAAAUCUCAAAGUACAUUUUCAGCAAAAAAGACCCGAAGUAGGAAAUGCAGCAAGUUUUGUUGUCAAAUCAAUGGAUUUUCCUUCUUAUAGAAAUCUCGUUUUGUACAUAAAUUGCGUAAAGAGCUAUUUGAGCACUUAAACAUAGAAAGGGGAGAAUGGGUCGUCAGUUAGCAUUUGCUAAAGAAAUGCGCAAUCAACUCGUAUAGCCUACCCAACUUAAUAAAGAGACUCCGCUACUUCAGUGGAAGAGGUGGAAUUCGAUCCAGGCUGAUAGCUCCCCAGAUCCUGCAACAGACCUCGCAAUAUUCUUUGCACCCCAAAAAAAGUGUGAAAUCCGCUAAAGUGCUACUGCCUUCUGAGUUCUUGCUUCCCUUCCCACUCCUGUAAACUCUGUAAAGCCUAUUAUUUCCUUCUCCAACUCGGUAUUCGGUAUAUUGAAUAAGCGCUCGCCAGCACAGCACAUCCUCAAAGAGAAUUCCAAAAAGAAAGGUCCAGGGUCCGGAGUCCUACGUCCGCAGGAUUUAUCCUACGUCCGGAGGAUUUAUCCGUAGGACCAUCCAUAUGGAGGGAAGUAGGACUAUCCAUAUGGAAGUAGUCCGGAGUCCGCAGGAUUCUUAUCCGUAGGACUAUCCAUAUGGAAGUAGGACCAUCCGUAAUUAACCGAAGUAGUCCUCCGGACUUUCCGUAAUUAACCGAACUUUGCGCCUAGCCGAAGGACCUGUUCAAAGUCAAUCAAAGAAAAUCCGUUCAUUAACGAUAAUGAAAGAAGAAAAAAAGCAAAUUCAUCUGCUAGAUUUCAGACAUCUUUGCUUAAUGAAGACGGAGUGAAUUCCAUGAUUUUGCAAGGUUUUGCCCAUAGGAAGUAGCAAGAAAAGACAAAAAAUCAGUCAAAAUUGAUCUAUUUUCGUUAAAUAUCAAUAUGAGAAAAAGUAUGAAAAAGAAGCAAAAAAGCCGGGAAAUAGCAACUGGUCCAUUAUCAAAAUCUAGGUCAAAGAAAUUCUCAGUUCUAGUUUGAGUUUCUGGUCCGGAUACUGACGGGUCUAUUCUGGAUUCCGCUCCUCCGUUCUAAUGGCGCAAAGAAUAUUGCGGUCAUGAUUCCCAAGGCUAAUAUGGAUAGUCCUUGCACUCCGUCCUCUUGACUCGUUUUCUCUUCUUAGAUAAAUGCGCUUCUCAAUAUUCUUUGAGCUCUUUAUUCAAUGAUCUUUGAGCCUUAGUUAGGAUCAAUGAAAUUUGAUUGUUGAGAGAACGAAUUCUUCAGCUGCUUCAGUGAAUGCACCAAGGAGCUCCUAUUCUUCUGACUCUUCCAUCCUGCCGCUGAGCUCCUAGCCGGUCGUUCUAAUUCCUCCUCCGCGACUGGAUUACCGCUACGUGGGGUAUGCCGAACUUUCUUCUUCCCUCGUUCAGUUGAGCUGCUUCGUAUCCGUCUGUGUGAGCGGCUCGCACCUCGCCCUCUCGUGGCCUCGUAUUUUUCUCUUUUGAGGUUACGAACGGAUAAAGAAAAUGUGUCUGAGCGGAACGAUUUACUGAAUAUUCUAUGAUAUACGAAACUGUAUAAUGACCCAAUAGCAAGAUCCGUCAAACUCGUAGUAAAGCUGCUGAGCCCCUUCCCCUAGGCUUUCUUCUUAUGGUCGGCUUCCGAGGGGAGGGGUACGGUUCUCCUGAGUUUACUUAUUCAGGUAUACCAUUAAGAAUCAGACUGAUCAAGGCAGAGGAAGGGCCUCAAGCAAUAACUGAAAUCGGAACAUCACUCAAUAGUAGCAGCUUGGGCCCAUAGAGGAGGGUUGAUCUGGUAUGCUUUUCCUGCAUUUCUCUUUUUUUAGUGGUCUAAUCAAUAUAUAAAGAAUAGUCGCAAUAUUCGAGCAAUAUUCUUUGCGCCUACGCGGACGGGUCAAAGAGACUUGAGUUUUUUGAUGCUUUUUCGCAGCACUAACCAGGCGCUUAUUAGCCUAUUUCGGCCCCCUCUCAGUAGAACCUACUAAAAAGAUGAAAGCCUAUCUCCAACCCUUUCUUCUUCAACAUGGGAAAGAUCUCAUUCAAGAGGAAGUAAAGCAGCUUCCACUCGGGAUGCAGACUGAAAGCCGAGGCGCCCGUGGUCCUCAGUCUAGUUGAUAAUAGGAAGUCUUCCCCUAUCUCAAAAUCGAGCCCUCACUCUCGCACAAGACCCCUUUAUUUAUGGAUGUUCAUUGAGCCUCAUUCCGAUUUGACUGACUCUUAGGCACAGCUUCAAUGGCACAGCCACUCAUAGAUAGAGUUCAAUCGCUUCUCAAUAUUCUUUGAUCCUCGCAAUAUGCGCCUCCGGUCGGUCGCUCCGGCUAGUCUCUUCAAUAGGAGGUCCCACCUGGAUCCGCGAAUGAUUUACCUCCUUUUCAUCUCUUUAUGGGAGGGAAUGGAUGGACGGUUGAAGGAAGACCAUACCUUGGUAGAGUACGAGUACAUAACUCCAGAAAAAGAAGACGCCCACUCCGCGGUCCCAUAAGACAGGGAUAUUGAUGAGAGCGAUCUACUAAGAAGAAAAUCUACUGAAAGAAUGCUUUCAACCACUGCCACUGGUGCAAGCAAAAGAGAAAGGGAUGGUGGGGUUCGCUUCGGCUUCCUUCCAUUAGCCUCCCUCUGUACUUUCAUCCUAUAUAUUAGCCGACUGAUUUAUGGAACAUAGACCACUAGGCUUGAUCUUCUUCAAAGCCCUCCUUUUGAUAUUGAUAGGCUUGGAGUUGAUUCUUGUGUCUGACUGAACUUUCUGAAGGCAAAAACCAUAGAUUUGAGGCUUCUAUUCCCCAGUGGAGUCGCCAGCAGUAGGGCCCGCAUUUUCUUUGGCACCGCUUCCCACAUCAUCACUACUUUGGCCACAAAGCCCUAUCAAAAGAAAGAGGAGAAAAAGGGGUUUAGAGGCUUUUUUCUUCCUUUGAUUUUAGGCCGACGGACUCAAGAAUUUGACAUAGAGUCUACGAACCAUUGGUCCGGGUAAGGCCUUCCUUUCUAUAUUCCAGUAUAGUAGCGGGCCCUUAGCGCAGGCAAGAAAUCCAAAAAAAAUCAGUCUUCCAACACGAUUUUUCUUUAAGUAAUGGCCCCAAAGGCGGCUCAUUGAGCCGGUCAUCGGUUGCUAAGAGCCUUUCCUCACUUGAAAAAGCCACUUUUCUUACUGGGACGAAUAUUCGUUCACUGAAAUCGUCGGAUCGACCGGGCCAUAUUUCCUUUUCAUCGGUUGAUUACGCAGAAAAAAGGGAAGAAGGAGCGAGUUAAGGAGAGGAGGCGAGAUCUAAUAUGAGUUGAGAAGCGCAUUUCCUUAGUGGUCCUAAGCCCUUCCUUCCAUAUGGAUAGUCCGGAAGAUUCAUCUGUAGGACUGCGGACUCCGGACUCCGGACCACUACAAGGCGCAAAGAAUAUUGCUCAAAGCAAAGAAUAUUGCGUUAGAAAGGGGAUUAUCUGAAUCCAGAGGUCAGGAGAGAGAGGUAUGAUAAUAUGCUUUCCCAUAGGCCGAGCGGUUAGAAGGAUGCUGUGAAUCUCGAAGUAUUCUCCAAAGGAAAGUCUCAGUUGCCGAAGCUCUGUAGUAAAAGGAAAAUAACUCAUUGAUGUCUUCUCUUCUUAUGAAGGAGUAAUCAGUCUCCAUCAAAAGAGUAUGCAUAUUUGGGGGGCUGAUGUACUUGCCCGCUCGGCCUUCUUUCUUACCGAGAAGGGUGAAGAGCCAGUUGCGGAUGGAGAUUACCUAGCCUCAAGCAAUAAUGAAGAUAGGAAUAGGAUCGAAGGAGGAAUGAGUUACUUCACUCUUAGACGAGAGAGAGCUUUCCCAAGCACCGGAUCCGGGGAUGAAAGCUAUCCGUUUCGGAAGCAAGGGGGCUUCAAUUCGGUCGGGCUAGGUGCCCGCUGUAAGGAGAGGUUUCGAUAGGGUGCGCAGGUGAGAAUCCGAGUUUAGACCUCAGUGGAAAACUUCCCCAGUGGGAUAGGUCUUAAUAAGGAAAGAGAUUUUCUCUUCUUUACGGGAAAGGUUAUCUUUUCUCUUUAGGGUAGCUAGGCAGACUAGAGCUCGGAAUAUGCUCUCCAAAGUAGCUCAGUAGUCUUAGGAGUAGGAUAUGGAGUGGCUCUCGGGGCAGCGAGAGUGGAGUGGGACCAAGGACGAACUCCUUUAGUUGUAGAGUGGUAGAAGACGAAAGAUUCCAGGAAAUUCCUCUUCUUUUCUUUCAUUCCACUGCCAUUUUCGGAUUGAGUCUAUAAGUAAGACUGAUUUAGAUAUGGAUUUGAGAUUCUUCCAUUUCCCCGGUCUUUUUCUUCAUUUUUGGAUUCUCCUGCUUUUAUGAAAAAAAAUCUGAAUAUAAAUCAGUCCCACUAUUUAAGUCUUAUUCCACUAAAAGGCUGAAUUCAAUUUUCGUGACUCGACUCACAUAAAAUAAAGAGGGAUGGACACGCCUGAUACCAAAGUCGGGUGAGUAUGGUCUCUCUUUCGUGAAUCAGAAUUCAGGCUAGUAUGAAUCUCCUAGGAGAGAGGAUGUCUCAUCCGCUACAGUUACCGAUGAAGUGACCGCUGCCCACUGGUCUCGCUGGCCGGCCCAAACCCUAGGUUUUCUUCCUUUUAUCUUAUGCUUUACGAAGAGUUUCUUCUAACCACUGGUGGGAAACUGCCCUCUCUCGCAUUUCAUGGGUUCCUCCUCUCCCGCUACGUGGGGAGGUCAAAGAGGAAUUAAUCAGUCCUCCGCCUAAUUCAUAUGGGGAUCUGCUCAUUCAUAUGGAUCAAAAUCAGUCCCACUAUUUCAAAAGAAAUAUUCAUUGCGCCUCGUCUGAAGACCUUCCACUCGGCCGCUCUCUCUCUCUGUGAGGCUUGACUCAAGCGAAGAGAAGGCAGUCAACCCCGCAAUCAACUCAGUCUUCCCCAGCAGCCCGAGAUCUUCUUCCACUCCCUUGCUCCCUUUCGUACUUAUCUUUAUCUGUCUUCUUCUUCCCAUUUCAGAUGAUAAUGGCAGAGACUGAUUAUGAUACGGAAGAGCUACUCUCUGACGGGAAAGCUGCCAAGGCCUGUCGAUACUUCUGACUCUGGAUCCCUGACCUUUCUAACCUAACCCCCCUUCCGAUCCCUACUAACCCACGGGGCGGAAUCUGAGAAGAACAUCGAUCAGUCGCUUGCAGGAUUUCUGCCUUCUCUUCGCGAUCGGGAAAUCUUUUCUUCUCCUUUUCUAUCUCAUUAUCUCAUUCUUUACGAAAUGCCAUAAAUUCGAUUCUGAGGCCCGUCUAUAAAGUGAUUUUACGCACGUGCCCCAGGAAAAUGCUCAUUCAAAGCAAGGAUGGAUCUUCUUUCUGUAGUCCUUGCUGGAGCCCACUACGCGCUUGCCUAACCCUAGUUCUAGCUCCGAUCCUUAUCUUUCUUAGCAGAAAGCUCUUUCUCGCUCCUUGGAGAAUGCUCUUUCUGAUCCCGAGCCAAGGAUUCAUUCUCCUCCUUGUCAAUAUUCUUUGAACAAGGCUUCCGCUUAAAUCUUUGACUAUACUAGCGCUUUCGACUUGAUAGUGGAACCUUUUCUUUUAGGAGAUGAUGCACAAAUAGAGUUCUUGGUCUCGGGUAGAUAUGGUAGAACAGUGUCUCGUAGCAUUUAAGAAAAGAGAGAGCGCACUUCUCAAAUUCUUUGAGCCGUCCUCCGUCCUUAGUCGUUCUUUAUAUCCAUAUUAGCUUUUCGGCCAAGAUGACAUUCUUUCUUUUUCCAUGAAUGAGUCCGGAGGACUGGUCUCACCUCCCAAAAAUACCCAACCAAGGCAUCCCCUCUUCCUUCCUGUACGGAGUUCUCAUUCUUCUUCCCCAGCCGAUCGAUCCGGACCUGUCCUUUCCCUCUCGUCUUCCUCCACUCCUCCUUACUCCUUUUCAUGAGCUCCUGGGUUUCCAGCACUCUUCGAUUUCUCUUUUCUAAAAGAAAGAGAGUUUCUAGAUAAGCCUCGCCUUAGGAAUAAGGAUCUCAUUCCCGAUCUUUCUACUACUGGAAGAACUAAAGCAGCAAAAGCAAAUCAACUUCAACGGAUGCCUCAUCAGAACCUACUAAAGAAAGCCUACCGCAACAAAGAAAAGAGGUCAAGGAAAGCCUACCUUGAAAUGUGGUCUUCUCAUUCCACUCAAUCUUUCUGUCGAGCAAUCGUCUUCGCCCGAUCCGAAAGAUCUCAUUCCGCUCGAGCUAAGCGGUCCUUUUCUCGUAUCCGUCUCUUGAGCUGCUUCCUAUCCUUCCUUCUAUGGCUUCGCGGAGAUCCAAGGAGUUGUCUUUCUUGCUAUGGCCCCCGGCCGGACCCCUUCCACUCCUUUCCCCCCGGUCAUUCCAACCUUCACCAAGGCAUCCUUAAUCUCCAAUCCCGCAUCCUAAACCUACUGCGCUUGACUCAGUAUAUUGACUAACUACCCCCGAUACAGGAUAAUAGACUUCUUCCUCAAGAGGAAAUGAUAAGAGGCGAAUGGUCGAGCUUAUUCUAAGGUUCAAGAGAUCAUGCCCUAUCUUCAACCGUGGGCUUACUAAAUACUUGGCUUUUCUACCGCUACGUGGGUAUCCCGAGUUUGCAUGAGAAAGGGUUUAUUCCUCAACGCCUCUCCAAAUUCCCAUAGAAAGAGAGGUCUAUUCUUCUCAAUAUUCUUUGACCCUCCAGGUGAUUCAAUCAGAAUUCUUCUUUCAUUCGAGUGAAUGAGUUCAUUCUGCUUUCAUUCUCGUUAAUGAGCUUCUUUGAUUGACUUUUCACAGGCGCAAAGCAUAUUGCGUGUUUGCGUGUUUGCGUGACAAAGAAUAUUGCAAGAAUGCAGAAAGAAGAAGAAGAUCAGUGCUUACCCACUGGAAGACCAUUAUAAAGGACUUAUAUCUUUUCGUUAUCAACCACUAUUUAGAGCACUUGAUGACUGAAAUCUCUUAUACACUGUACUAAUCGCAGAGCUUGAUAAAUGACUAUUGAAUAUUGAGAAAGAUAUAUUGAAAAAGUCGUACAGAGUAUGAAAUUCUGAGAAGAAGAGGACUGGGCUUAACUUUCUCUGAUUAUUUCAUUCGCGGAGCUUUAUAAAGAAAGAGAAGUCGCAUGCACUAUCAUUAUUCAUAAAGCACUGAUCAAGGAAGGGCCCAAUAAAAAGGGACUGAUUUUUCCUCUUGUUUUGGGGGCUCGACUAAGAGAUGCGGUUACAGACGUGACCGUCUUCCUGUGCCAGUUGUGGAAGUUGCAGAAUUCGUUCUUGCUGGAUAAGUUUCUCUUCAGUCCCAAGGCAAUUAAUAUCAUUUUCCUUCCGGGGAUUCUUUUCCUUUCUAUGUCGAAAAGACUAUAUAAAAGAAUCAAUCCCGCCUCAGCAUGAAACCUCUAUUUUCUCCUUUCGGCUUCAGAGGCCAGUCUGAGGAGUUUCCCGGGCGCCUUAUAAAUAAAGAAGCCGAUCUCCAUCCACGGGUUUCUAGCAUAAAGGAUGGGGAAUGAAAGGCCUGUGAUCCCCGAUCCAGGUUCUACCUCUUAUAUGAUGCGUGGGGAGUCCUGUACGCUUAUUCAUCCCUUCCAUUAUACUUGUUCAUGAAAGAAAGAAAAUAUGGGAAUCUUUCCACUAGAUCUCGAAGAAAAAGAAGCCCCGCACCAAGGGCAAGAGGGAAAAGCCAGGGUCUAUCCUUUACUGGGGGUCACUCCGAUUCCUGUAUUGGUAUUGAGUCCUUGGGUUCAGUCUCCUUUCCUGCUAAUAAGAAAUUCAUCGAAAUCCUUUAUAACUUCUUCUUCUCAUCGACUACGUCUCCUUCGGAACCUGCGAAUCCGCGAUUCAUUCAUUAUUCUUUCUAAAUAAGAAGAUAUGAAGAACUGCUCAACCCCUCAGCCCCUUUGGUCCGGCUCUUCUCCGAUUGGAAAGAUCUGGUACGGAGUCUUCCCCGGCCCUGGACACUUGGAGUACUGAGUGGGAUUAUGAAUUUCAUAGUUCAUGGGGACUCAUUAAUUCGAUUUCUUUUAUUCAAGACGAGACUUAUCCAUUCGCUACCACCAGUACCAUAUUCCCUUCCAGGUGGUGGGGUUCCUUCAUUAAAGACCGGUAACUCCGAUCCCGUAGGCCUGAUCAAAGGUCAAUCUUGGGUUAAGACCGAUCCGAGAAGCGAGAAGAGAAAGAAAAAAAAGAGAAUGGUUUUAGUAAAGGAAGGGAACUCCUCUUGCCCCUUUGCGAACCAUCUCGAUCGGGUUCAGACAGAUAAAGAUCCCCACGUAGCGGGAAGAGGCCUCAAGGUGGAAUUCUACUCUGACAGGCGCGUAUUAUCUGGACCGCCCGUCUCAAAUUUCCCCUCGGUCAAUGAUAAGUACGAUUAGCAGAACGAAGGCAGAAAGGAUCGGAGCGGUCGGUGCCUAGGUUAUUCAAUCUACAGAAUGCAGAGUCAAGCGAGAAAGAAAGAGAACUAAACUAAGACGGGACUCGAGACGAGGCGAGAUCUAAGCGCGUAGUGGUCAAAUCUGAUUAUCAAUAUCAAGAGCGGAGACGGAGGUUACGAGAAAAAAGAGUAUUCAAGAUCAGAGACAGAGGUUCAAAGAAUAUUGACAAUGAACAAGGAUCAGAUAGAGAAAAUAAUUGCGGUCUUACUCAAUUCAAUCUCAUUUUUUUUUCUUGUGUGCGAUUAUUCAUUAUUUUGAUUCGAAUGACGGAGUACCUCUUUCAAGGUUAUCCCUAGGUCUGGACCUAGAUCAACUUAAGUGAAAUGGAAGGCAAUAUUCUUUCCUCCUCCUUCUGAACCAUUUGCUUUGUCAAACCCAUUAGAUUCGGGCUGCUCUUGGGAAGUAGAUUUAGGUAUGGGAAUUGAUCUAAGUUAGGGUCUUUCUGACUAAAGCUCAUCAACCCUAAUCUAAUUAAGACUUCGUCCUUUCGCUACGCUACGAGACCUCCGACUUAUUAGAGAAAGGUGAUACCAUCUCUGACUCCUUUCGGAUCCUUCUGCGCCUAUCGGUGAAUAUGUAUACUUGAGAAGGUUGAGAUGAUCUCUUGUAUACAAUGAAAUUAGGGAUGGAGAGUCAAAAAUGCCAGCUUGAAUGAGGAUACCCUGACUCCUCUUUGGUUUAUGACCCAGCUCUAUAGAAAUUGGUAACUUACUUCGUUCAGUCUGACUCUUGCUCUGAUUCUGCGGGUUCGGAAAGUCUCUUCCCUCUUCGCCUAUCGUCCCUUGACUUGAUUUGCCGCUGGGAUGUUUCAAAAAUCAAAGAAAGAAAGGUGCAAAGAUCUAUGGCCCCACUACGCGGGAUAUUGUGGGCUAUUCUAAACCAUCCCUUCUCGCUUUAUAUUUGACUUUCUCUCUCAAAUUCUUUGAGCCUCGCCUAGAUAAAAGAUCAUAAACUAAGAAAGGGAUGACCCUACUUCUCUUACGUACGUAACAAAGAACCUUUGACUCGACAGAAGAAGCGAAACUCUACUCGCAUAUUGCUCUCUAUUUAUAAAUAAACUUAGCUCAAGAAAAUUCCCAAGAAUAUCCCGUCCGAAGUCCUUCAUUCGAUCUUUCUUUCUCUGGGUCCUCCGUUUUAGAGUCCUACUUCGGUUAAUUACGGAUGGUCCUACUUCGGUUAAUUACGGAUGGUCCUACGGAUAAAUCCUCCGGACUACUUCCCUCCAUAUGGAUGGUCCUACUUCUAAUGGAUAGUCCUACGGAUAAGAAUCCUCCGGACUCCGGACGUAGGAUAAAUCCUGCGGACUGCGGACUCCGGACUACGGAUAAAUCCUCCGGACCUGUCUUAUGGAACCUUCGGUCUUAAUACUCCUAACUACGGGGUGAGGUGCAAAGAAUAUUGACAGUCUUUCUCUCUCGCAGCUGAGACUCGGCCCUUGCUUCCUGCCAAUGCAUUCUCAUACCAACUCCUAGAAGAUAUAGCAUAUUCUCUACCCACUACGCGGUAUUCUACCUGCGGAUAGCUGAUCUUCCCGCUCCGUGGGCUAAGUAGAAGAGGAAGAAGAGAAGACCAGAGACUUGGCCGCCGACAGAAAAGGGGUCCUUUCCUUCCGAUCCUGGGCCUGGUCCCUUUCGUCGAAAGUAAUAAGUCGAUAACCCUGAAAUGAAACUGAAACCUACACAGCAAGAACGACCUCAAUGAACAAGGGGCCCCAAGAGGACGUUGAAAGAAUGAAUCGCCGAAAUGAAAUAAUGCAUUAAUCUCCUCGCGAAUUAGACGCCCGACCAAAGGUUCUUUCAUCAUCAGCAUAUGUGGAUUCAGUCGGGACGUUUUUGAGGUUCUUUUGCACGAUCUCAAAACCCACUACGCGGCGCUUUCUUUACAUCUUUCGACCUUAAAGCCACUUAUCUCAUAACCUCACGAAUGAAAGAGCAUGCAGACUGGUUAGCAGCUUCAUACCGCCCCCUGGGAUGGGAAUACGAGACAGCGGACCACUCUCCUACUCUUUCUAUUCGCAUAACCGAUCUCCUUUCCAGUCGUAUUCAAACCUCUGCCUAUAUUGGGGAGGAUUCUAGACGCGGGAAGAAACCUAUCCAAAGCCUGAGAAUCUCGCAAUAUCAAUAUUCUGCUUUCGAGCAAUAUUCUUUGCGCCUUCUACGCGGUCGUCCUAAUCCCUUGUUCAUUGAGGUGAGGACCUUUGUUUUUGGAGGAGUUAUCUACCCUUUCUUUGCUUUGUUUAUGGAUCAAAAUCAGUCCUUAAAAUGAACCAAAAUCUUCUUCUCAACAAUAUCCCUGUCUUAUGGUAUGGAGCCUUCAAAAAAGUGGAAUAAGACUCCUAACGUCAGAAACAUUUACCUAUUUAUCUUUAUCAUGACUUUUUCUCAAUAUUCUUUUCUUUCUAUUAGCUCCAUUAAUCAGUCGCAAUAUUCUUUGCACCUUUCUUUCUCAGGAGCGGAAGCGUAGCGUAGCGGACAGCCUUAAAGCACUUGCUUUCAGCGUAGCAGAGCGGUGGGUUCGCUGGCUUCUCCCUUUCUUUUCCAGCGGAGCGGACAGGACACCUACCUUUCUUUUCUCUUUUCCAGAAAAUCGCUGCCUGAGCCCUUAAGAUUUUCAGCUACGCGUAGCGGUGCCUUCGCCCCUCUCCUUUCAGUCGAGCUUCUUCGCCCUGAUGUGAUGACUCUUUCCGUUGGUUCUUGCUGUUGGGCUCCGCCCCGUACACUGACUUCGUGUACUUACUCUGUACUUCUUAUACUUGACUUCUUGUACUUCUUGUUGUCGGGCUCCGCCCCUUAUACACUGACUUACCUCUUGUACUUACCUCUGAUUGUACUUCUUGUUUUGGGCUCCGCCCCGUAUACUUACCUCUUCUUGUUGUUGUUGGGCUCCGCCCCUCACACUUGUUCUUUCUUUCCUGCCUCUUCCACGCAAUAUUCUUUGCACCUCACACGCAACUCAUAUUGCAUUGAGCCUCUUGUUGCUGUUCUCAAAUUCUUUGCCCCUUAUACUUGCUCUUCUUCAACUUCUUGUUGUCGGGCUCCGCCCUCGCAAUAUUCUUUGCGCCUAGCCGUCACGGAUUGGUUUACGCCUAGACGGGAUAGAACGAAGAACGGAUCCGCUUUAGCCUAGAGGGAUAUUCGGAUAAGCGGAUCAGCCGAUCUUGCUGUUUUGACCUUCUUUGUUGCCUAGAAGGAAGAGACAAUUACAGAGGUGCAAAGAAUAUUGCGGUAAGAUAAGAAAGAGGGAGAUUAUGAAGAAAAGAAGCGGAUAAGCGGAUCAGCCGAUCUUGCUGUUUUGACCGCGUAGUGGGUUACGGAGAAGAAGGAAGGGUGAAGGGUGAAAGAGAGAGAAGAACUUCCGAAAGAGGUCUCGCAACCGCGUAGUGGGCAUUGACUGCAUAGCUGCUGAAUACCUAUCAUACUUGUCCGGCUUUUCAUUGUCGGCCAUAUCGAUCUGGCUGCCUUCUUGGGGCUUCGCCCUUCAAUAUUUUCAGCGGAGCGGAGUAGCAGAGCGGUGGGUUCGGGGGGCUUCGCCCGCGGAGGGGGUUUGAUCCAGGAGCGUAGCGUAGCCUUUAAAGAAGCACUUGAUCCCUUAUCAAAAAAUAGGAAGGAUCCAUAAGACAGGGAUAUUGUAAGAGAAAGGGAUAUUGUAAGAGAAAGGGAUAUUGUAAGAGAAAGGGAUAUUGUAAGAAUUUGUGGAUUCUUCUUAAUCAGUUCAUUAACGAGAAUGAAAGAAUAAUUCGGAUUGAAUAACCUGGAGGGAAAUCCAGAAUAGACCCGUAUUUCUCCGGACCAGAAACCAUAAGAAAACUCUGUUCAUUGAUUUUACCUGUCCUAGGAGUUCUUCUUUCAUUGCGUUUUCCCGGCUUUUUUGCUUCUAAAUAGGACUAAAUCAAAGAUUUCUAUUUAACGAAAAUAGAUCAAAAAUGACAGAUUUUUCAUGAUUUCUUGCUACUAUUUCUUUUCAGCUCUCCUUAUCAGUCGAGCCCAAAACCUAGCAUUUCCCUCCGCGGAUUCAUCUGAAAUCUAGCUCUGAAAUCUAGCAGAUUCAUAAUUCUUCUUUCAUUCUAGUUAUGAAAUCAUAAUGAUUCUUUCAUUCUCGUUAAUGAGCUUCUUUCUUUGCGCCUUUCUUUCUCCGUCCGAAGGACUAUCCAUAUUAAUCGCGGAAGCGGAGCGUAGCGGAAAGAGCCGCAAUAUUCUUUGCACCUUUGUUUGAUGUUUGAGAAAAGAAAAAUCGCAAGUCAAAUUCUCUAAUGGAUAGGCCUCUAAUUUAUCAUAGCGAAUAGUCCAAAAACAAAGGUCCAGAUGAAAAAUAGCAUUUUACCGACUCCUCCUACGCUAUAUACUCCUUCGGACGUCCUCUGGACUAUUCAUCCUAUUACUUCUUUGAUUUCAAGCUUCCGUCGGACUGAUUAAUGGAACUAAUAUUUACGGGAGGCUCAAAGAAUUUGAGAUCAUUCUUUCUCCCCUCCAAAAUAAUUGAGCCUCAGGCGCAAAGAAUAUUGCUCGAAGGAUCAAUGAAAUUUGAUGAUAAAGAUUAGACUGAACUUUGAACCUUGUUCAUUGUCAAUAUUCUUUGAACCUUACUAAGGAAAGAAUGAAAUAAUUACUCAAAUUGUAUCUUAGCUUUAGGCUAGUCCUAGCUUACUCAACGACGAAUACGACUCUUUCAGUGGAUAGCAGCAAGGGCCCGAUCCAACUCGCUUGUACCAGUCUGCCUCUACUUUCUUUUUCCGACACUGAAUUCUUCCUCUUAGCCUGAACCUAGGCUUUCCUUCCUCUCAUGAUAUAUUCCUGAGCAAUAUUCUUUGCGCCUCUCCCGCCUUCUAAUUGGAUCUGGACCUUUCUUUUUGGACUGAUUUUGAUCCAUAUGACUCCGGACUGAUUAAUGGAACUGAGUAUAUUCACCUUUUAUUUGCCGCCUUGAUUUUCUUCAUGGAUUCUUCAAAGAGUGGAAUCAUUGAUUUGUUAUUAGAUAUCUCUCUCUCCUAAUCCUCUCGAAACUGCACUCAUUCUGAUUCAACUUCGGUCGUUCUAAUGGAUUUCUCAAUCUGAAGCCUUUCUUCUUUUCUUAGAUAAAUGCGCUUCGCUUCGCGCAUCUGGACCCCUCCGGAGGAGCAAGGAAUAGUGCAGCGCAAAGUGCGGAUAACUUCAAAAAUCUUUGAGCCUUUAUUUAGGCCUUCGAAUAAGGAGGAGCUUACCUCUCAACGGAUGAGGUGCAGCCAACUACUUAUGAAAGAAAAGGACUGAUUUUCACAUACUUAUGUAUGAAAGGAGAACCGCUACGUUUUCCUUUUCAGGCGACUGCAACUGCCAAAACGGACCUCUUCGCGGCUUCCCUUGACGGAACGAAGAGCGGCCUUAUCCCCUGCCCUGAUCGCGAGACGUGUAUCCUGCACCGCGGAGUGGGAUGCCUAACCCAUUUAUGUCUUCGACCCGAAGCUUCUUUGUUUUGAAGCCAUGAUGGAAAAGAAAAACCUUUGAAUGUGGGUAGAAGGGAACCUCAAAUCCCUUGUUUCCCACUUUCAGUUACUUACUCAACUAACUCUUAAGGAAGAAAGGUCAGACGAUAAAGCAGACCCUAACAAGACUAUUAUUUAAGACUAUUGAGCCCACGGAGCGGGAAGAACUGAUGAACAUAAGGCCUAAUUUUGGGGGCGUCCUUAGUGGUCUAAGCCCACGUAGGGGGAAGAAAGAAAAGAGCUCCUAAUCUCUGGGUCCUCCGUUUUAGAGUCCUUCGGUUAAUUACGGAUGGUCCUACGGAUAAAUCCUCCGGACUACUUCCUUCCAUAUGGAUGGUCCUACGGAUAAAUCACCUGGACCUUUCUUUGGCCCUGCGGACGUAGGACGUAGGAUAAGAAUCCUGCGGACUCCGGACCACUAUUUAAUAUUGAAAGUAAUAGCUAUCGAUCAUUCUUUGAGCUAUAAAGCCAUUAAUCAGUCCUUCGCUCAAUGAAGAAGGUGAAAAGAAUAUUUCAUGAAGCUUACCUUCCCUUCUUCCUUUUGCAGUAAGCGCCUCAAUGAAGAAGGGCUAUUUCAUCCGGUGCUAUGGCCCUUCCCGCCCUUGAUGCUUUAUUCUCUUCAGCAAGUUAGGAUGCAAGAAAGAAGGAUGUGACUGAGAUUCUGAUUAGAUGACUUUGAAGGAAAAGUGGUACUUUCUCUUUGCUUCAAUCAUAAGAUGGUAACCCGCCCUAAGCAAGAUCGGUUCAGCAGGCCAAUUCACGCAUCUUCCGCAGCCCUAUAUGGAAAUGCUCGCCUUCGUCUUUUUUUCAUCCGGACUGAACGGUAAACUUGGGGUUCAGAUACAUCGUACCCCUAUGAUGAAAUCCGCCUAUUCCAUGGAUAAAGAAGUCCCACGUAGGAAAAAUGGUCGUUUUUGGAAGGCAAUAUUCUUCGCUCCUGCUAACCGUCCUCCGGACUAUCCGUAUGAACCUAGCCUUCGGACCAGUCCUCCGGCGCAAUUCAAUAUGCGACUUUGAACCUUUUUUUUCCUCUUUCUCUGAUGAGACUGAGUUCUCUUGUCGAUGUAGAGACUGAUGGGAAUAGGUCCAUACGAUGGAAUAGGGUCUCUUGUCAACCAGUGAGCUGUGAAGCGGCCUUCCUUCGCGACAAGUCAAUGAUUAGGACACCUUUCAGCGUCCAAUGAGUUCAGGGAAGGGGUUCAAGCCCUAAUCCAAAGUCUAUCUUCGCUAUAUCUUAACCUUAGCACUUCUCUGUACUAAGCUCUUUCACCCUGCUUUAGUAAAUGGCGCGUCUUUGAGUUCGUACUAUUACUCAGCAUGCAAGGUAUUGGUCUUUCGGGAAGAAAAUCAGGCUUGAAAGUCUUCUUUGGUGGGAGCCGUAGUUCGUAUCGUCUAUUGGCUCCCAAUUAUCAUUGCCUAUCCGCUCGAAGCCUUUAAGUAAAGGACUGGGGAAUUCCAUCAAUACUGAUCGUAGACAAUUGAGAUUAAGUGGGAAGAGUAGACUUGAAAGCGAGCGGGAAGAUGGCUGGGAGUAGCCUUUAAGAGUGCUGGUCUACCCCGAUUUUCCCAUUGAGAGGGAGGGAGCCACCCCUAUUCAAUUAGUAGAGCUCUAUUGAACCUUGGAAUUGGCCAAUCACCAAGGGCGAUCUUAGGUUAGCAUUCUCUUAGAAUAGAACGAACUCGAAAAAUCAGCGGUACGGCACAGCCGGGGAGAGCGAAGAAAGGUAGAGCACAACUAUCAUUUUCAGAAAGAAUCCCGCAUCCGAAAGAAGUAAUGCAAUUGCUUGACCCAAGAAGGUAAGGGAGAGGAAAGACCCCUACCGCUAACUUCUCUGGCCUAAUCUCCCAGAAGAAGAAGAAGAAGAUUUAGUGGUUUGAAAGUCAUAAGAGGCUCAAAGAAUGAUCGAAGGCGCAAAGAAUUUGCGAGCGACAGAUGACUGAGCAUCUGAAAAAAAGAGAAAUAGUUAUGACUUUAGAAACUUGUAAGAAAGAGAAGAUCGGCCUGGACAGAAGAGGAAAGAAGACUCCUUAUCGAGGAGAAAAGUCUAAAAAAGAUAUCAUACUCCAGCUCAUAAGCUCAUUCUUUUCUGCAAAUGAGGCGUCCGAAGGACCAAACCUUUUUGACCGCUACGCUCCUCUCCGCGGUGAUGAACCGAAAAUCUGAUAAUAGAUAGUCCGGAGGACGGCUCAAGACGAGCCGUCCGCUCCUUUUGAGUCUGAUUCCACUAAAAAAAAUGACGACGGAGCACUCGUCCUACGUAGCUUAAUAUGGGAGUCAGAAAUCCCGGGUUAAUAUGGAUAGUCAUCUGGACCUUGAUUUUUGGAGGCUCAAAGAAUCUCACGGAGGGGGAUAGUCCGGAGGACUGUUAAGGCUCAAUGUAAUAUGAGUGAAACCUAUUACUUUUCCAUAAUACUUUCAAUAAAAGUGGCAAUAAUGAAAGAUCAUGACUUCCUUCUUCUUCUUUCUGGGAGUCCGGAGGACCGGUCUUCUCUCAAAUUUCAUUGAGCCUAACUAUUCCUUGCUCCUCCAGAGGGAUCAUGACUCUCGCAAUAUUCUCAAAAUUGGAAGUGGAAUCUCACGUUCCCUAAUGGAUAGUCCUUCGGACCUGUCUUAUGGAGCAAAAAGAAAGAAUGUCAUCGUAAUCUCAUAUUUCAUUGACCGUUAGGCGCAAAGAAUAUAUUUAGAGUUUACAAAUUAGGAGAAAGUGCUGAAGAAUGAACUCAUUAACGAUAAUGAAAGAAGCUAAAAACAAAAUUCAUCCGCUAGAUUGAAGACGGAGUGAAAUACAUGAUUUUGCUAGUGAUAAGGAGUCCGCAGUCCGCAGUCCUACGUCCGCAGUCCGCAGGAUUUAUCCGUAGUCCGGAGUCCGCAGUCCGCAGGGCCAAAGAAAGGUCCAGGUGAUUUAUCCGUAGGACCAUCCAUAUGGAAGGAAGGAGGACUAUCCAUAUUCAGGAGCGGAAUCAAGAAUAGACCCGUCAGUAUCCGGACCAUAAACUCAAACUAGAACUGAUCCAUGUGAAUUUCUGGGAUAGGCUUGAUUCUUUCAUUGCGUUUUCCCGGCUUUUUUGCUUCUUUUUCAUACUUUUUCUCAUAUGGAUAUUCUACGAUAAUUGAGUGAAAAAGAAGGAAUUUUCAUGAUUUCUUGCUACUUUAUAGGCCCAAAACCUAGCAAAAUCUUGUAUUUCCCUCCGUCUGAAAUCUAGCAGAUUAAUCUUCAAUCUCCCUCUUUCUUUUGAAUUCCCAUUUUUUUCUUCUUUCAUUAUCGUUAAUGAGUUAAUUAUUCUUUUCUUUUCUUGACUUUUCACAGGCUCAAUGCAAUUUGAGCUUUCACCGCUACGCUACGCUGGAGCUACUCCGAAAGAAAGGUGCAAAGAAUAUUGCCGGACUACUGGGGGAUAUUGUUGAGAAAGAAUUAUCUUUGCGAAGGUUCAGCUUCAUUCCUAGGGCAUGUCCUCCGGACUAUUCGCUAUGAUAAAACCACUAAUACUCCGAAACCUCGAUCAUUCUUUGUCUUUGAACGCUUCUUUGUCAUUGAGUUCAUCUUUUCACCUUAUUCUUAGGCGAAGGCGCAAAGAAUAUUGAUAUUGCGGGAACUGAUUUUCAUAGCAAAGAUUCCACUAAUAGAUUUGCCGACGAAUGAAUAAUGAAUAAAGCUUGCCGAUCGAUCUUUAAAGAAAAGCCUCUCUUCAAAGAGAUUACGAGACAGAUUACCUAGCAGCCAAUUCCCUGUCUUCUCUCUCUUUCCAUAUGGAAUUCCCUUGGAGAAUAGACGAAGAGAUGUGAGAGCUUCCACGGAGAAAAAAGAUAAGCCUACUCCAUCCUCUCAAAUUCUUUGACCCAUCUUUUGUAUAGUUAUAGUAUAGCUUCCGGCUAGUUCACACCGAUAAAGGAGAAUAAGAGAUAGGGUCAAGCCUAUUCUACUCCGGAUAUGGUCUCGUAGUAAUCCCCUUCCCCUUUUCAGAUCUGAGGCCUCAUCUAAUUCCCCUCGUAACCCCUUCCGAUUCCUUUGGUAUUCUACGAGGAGCUUUGCUCCCUCGAGCAGCCUUUCUCCUCUAGGUCGAGUCGUAAACAAAGUAUAUUGCCUCUCUGGCCCGGCUCGAGCAGCUUAGUAAUCCCCUUCUCCAACCCUUUGCUUCUGAAAGAAAGAGAAAGAGAGAAUGAAAUCUCUCGCUGGACGGGUUAGCUGUGUCUAACCUUCCCCUUAGAGAUAUGAUAAGACCUCUACAACUCGGUCAGCUCAAACCAAAAUAAUAGCCGCAAUAUUCUUUGCGCCUGGACCUUUCUUUUUGCCGCUUAAUGUCUAAUCUUUCUCAAUCUUCUUUCUCACGCAUAUUUCAUUGCGCCUCCAAAGUCAAAUUCUCUAAUGGAUAGGCCUUCGAGCAAUAUUCUUUGCGCCUUCCAGUCUUGUCAACGCAUAUUGAAUUGCGCCUUCUAUAUAUUCUUUGCGCCGGAGUUAGGAGCUAUUCCACUAACGAGCCUUUGGCUUUCUUCUUUUCAUUCACAUUACCGCGUAGUGGGAUUCUUUGAGCCUUGUUCAUUGACUUUCUUCUCUAGUAAAGCUUUUUUUUUGUUCAUGCUUCGCUAGGCUUGAUCUUUUUAGUGGGAAUAUAUAGGAUGAAAGUAGCGGCAUAAUAAUAGAAAGGUGGAAUCCUUGCUUUAUCUCUUUUUUCAUCCUCCUUCCCUUUAUCCUUUUAUUCCCUUUAUCUAAGAAAGCUGAAAUCUCGUGAAUGGAUGAGGACUGAAUUCAAAGUUCAAAUAGGAGGCUCAAUCCCACGGAGGGGGAGUCCGCAAUAAUCAGCCUACGUCAGGCUUUCGGUGAUUCAUUCAUGGUGGAUAAGGAUCGGUUUUCAUAUGCACAAUGGUUGAAUACAAGGAACCUCGUUCAUGAGCUAGGUCGCGGGAUACCAUUUUCUCAUGAAAGAGCGGACACAAGACAAGAGCCGAAACUCUAUAAGAAAAUCAAGCUCCAGAUGAGUUGACGCUCGAACCCCACGAUCUUCCCCCCGACUGAAUCCGGCUAACCGAGCCAAUGAAGAGUGAUUAUAGCGCGUGGAGCAUUUUUUUUUCCUUCGUAGCUUCCCAAGAACUAAUGGGGAAGGCUGCAUGAAUAUAAAUGAGAAGUGGAAUCAUCCAUCCUCAACAAGGUCUGCAACCGCUUUCUUUCUCCCGCCUGGGUCGCUGCCUCCCUUUCUUUUAAUGGCACCAAGUCCGAGAUUCCCCGAUUACGCCAAGGAUUCCGCGCCCGGAUGGAUCCUUGAAAGGAGAGGCAAAGCCAAACCCGUAAACCGGCUUCAAACUUCCUGAAACCCGGGAAAAUGAGCCUGAGCAGGUCAGCACACUUUUCUACGAGGGAAAGGUUUCGGCCAGAUCAGUGGCAUCCGCUGAAAGGGCAGUUGCUAGCCCUCGUCUUCUUCUCAAUCGAAAGAUCGGAAAGCUCGAGAAUGAGAGAGUAUUUCCUAUUUCCUAGCGGAAUGAAGAUUUUCUAUAUGACUGUAGUGAAUAACUAAGAAAAGAUUCCAUGAAGACCAGGGAACCGCGGAGUGGGUCACGGGGCAGAGGCAUAGAGGUUAGAAAGCGCAAGACCAUACCGAAAAGAGACUGCAGGUGAAUCCGUCGGAGGAAGCCAGAUUAAGCAGAUAGGUAGAAGGGAAGGGUCAGAGCGCCGGAAGUCGGAGGAGGAGCUCUCUCUCGCUCUCCUUUCUUUCUUCUUUCAGUAGCCCUCGCUUUUCUUGCCAGCAUGCGGAUUCUUCUUCCUGGCAGCUAUCUCUCUUGCCUCAUCUUUAGCUUAAUUCAAUUAACCUACUAUAUCAAGGAUGAAAAGGCUUAAGGAUUGGAUGUCCCAUCCCAUUCUCUUAAAGACAGUGACUUCCACCCAUGAGAAAAUAGUCCUAAUAGGGGGGACGUCCCUCUUUCAUUAUCAGCUAGGAAGCAUGGCUCUCCUAACUCAAUUCAAUCUUCUUUGAACCUCCCGUACGCCCACUCGACGUCCUCCACCAGGAGCACUAUUAUCAUAAGCAAGAGAGUCCGAGGUCCCUUUCGGCAGUUGCAGCUUGCUUCGGGCUCGCUUUCUUCUUUUUCUCAAAAUUAGUUGAUUGCUAAGGCCUUUCUUCAAAAUUUCCAUGUCCCAAGAAAAAUGUGAAGACGGACGGAGACGUGAUCCCAUUCAAUCCUCGGACAGGAGGAUGGAGUGUGAAACCUCUUUCCUAACCUCGUCCUUUCGCACAAAGGCUUGAAUCCACGUAAAUUGCGAGAAGAGGUGGCCUAUUUCCUUAUUGCCUUUUCUUGUAAUAAAUCGCCAACAAUAUCCCUUAUGGAGCCUACAAUUGAGUGAUUUUUCUAUCUAUUUUCCUUGGUCUAAUCUGAACCUCUUUUAGUAGUUUCGCUCGAGCGUGAACCUCAACCGGCGGACGACCCUCUUUCAUUAUCAGCUAGGGCGAGAGUCCUACUCGAAGUUACUAAGUUACGUGAUAGAACUCAUUUCUUUAAGAGUACAAAUCAGUCUUUAUUAAGAGAAGAUGGGACUUCGACCAGUUAGUUCUCAGCCUUUCCUUUCUAUUUUGGGUCCGAUCUCAAGAUAACUUCCGCCUCUGAUUAAAGGACGAAGUUGUCUUCCUUGUCUAAGUCAUCUCUCAACAAAUCAAUAUCCCCUAUCCAUAGAUCUUUGCGCCUUCUAUAUAUUCUUUGCGCCUCCUUCUCCAUCCCUAUUUCUUUAUUUAUGGAUGUUCAUUGAGGCGUCUUGACCCCUUAUUUAGCAGAUAAAUGCGCUUCGCUGAUGAUCUCAACUUCUAUCACUUUUUUAUGGAUUCCUUGCUUCUAACCAACUCAAGAACAAGAGGUGAAAAGUCGCAUAUUUCAUUGCGCCUCCGGACCGGUCCCUAGGCUUUCUUCUUCUUUUGGAGCCUCAGUCAGACAAAAGAUUACCCGCCCCAAAGUCGAGGCCAAAGGCCCACGUAGCGGUAAUUUGAAUAAGGAAGUUUCAGACCCACUCAAGCGAAACUAGGAAAGAAGCGAUAUGGCCCCUGGUCUUGAGGGCAGGGACUUUUCCUACGAUACCAGGCGAGACUAAGCAGAAAUAGGAAGUGGAAGUCAUUCUUUAUCCAAGCCAACCGCUUUCAAGCCCCUCUCCGCUGGAUCUGUCCUUUGAGACGACUAUGCCCUACUAGUUUACUUAGUCCCUUCCCUUGUGUGCCAUCCGGAACUGCUAUCCCUUAAGGUUUUUAGCUGCUAUCCCGCCUGGGAAUCUACUGCUACCUACUCCAAUAUAAGGCUUGGGUGAAUGAUUGGAUCCCGACAUAAGUACUCUAUCCACUCCUUCUUCUUCUUAGUCUUUGACUUCAGCUUCUUACCUGGAUUCUGCUUAUUCUGCUUCACGAAAAUGAAAGCCCAGUGAGGAAGUACUUGAAAAAUGCAAUUUUCCAGCUCUUAGAAAAGUCAGAAUUCUAAUGUGAACCACUUCCUAAUCUUUGUCUUGAGUUAGUGCUUUUGAGAUUGAUGAAAGGAAAGCUUUUCGGGAGCUAGCAGUCCUUCUUCUUUGCGAAAGAGAGUAGCUCAAGCAAGUCAAUUUCCCUUAAAGAAGAUAAUGAACUAAGAGCUUUUCUGCGCUACAAAGAAGAAAGGAUAGAGAUAGAUAGUUGAAUAAGCUAGACCGCUGCAGGUGCAAAGAAUAUUGCGAAUAAGAAGAUAUUAAGAAGAUCUUCCUUCUGUGACAUUUAGCCCGAAGAAAAUCAGCCUAUUCUAUACCAGCUUCUUCUAUAGAUGAGAUAACUGGAUCAGAUGAAAUAGCAAGGGAUAUGAGCAGCUCAAGCAGCAGAUUCUAUUCUGGGCAUGAAUGUGCAACCUAUCGAAAGAAAGAGUCCUCUACUUCCCACCGUGGCAGCUAAAGUCCUUCUCAAUAUUCUUUGAGCCUCGGUCGAAACUUUCCCCUUUCUUCCUUCAACCACGUAGUGGGGUCGAUCCGAUACCUCCCUGUGGAAAUACAAGGGCGGGCUAGUCUCAUUCCGAAAGAUAGAAGAGAGAUUGCACCCCUUUUGAUUUGAUGAAAUUACAUGCUCUCCGAACUCCUCUCGUGCCUAUCGCUGUCUCUGAAUAAGUAGCCCUGCACCCAUCUUUCCUCCGCACGCACCUGCACCCUACCUCUCUUUACCUCGCCCUGGCUAACUCCUUUCCCAGUCUUCUUUCUAUAUUAUAUAACCUCUUGACUUCCUUCUUUUAUUCAAAUGCAUCCGUUAGUGGGUCAAGCUGCUUUCGCUCCUUCUCCUUACAGUCGGAAAUCUUAGCAAUAUUCUUUGCGCCUCAAAAUCAACUCGGAAAUCUCUCAAAUUGCAUUGAGCCUCAAUUCAAUCUUCUUUGAACCUCGUGCCUCUCUCUUGGACUGGGUUGUGCUAUGGCUUGAAUCUCGCAUAGGGCGAAAUUUGCACAUUCGAACUAAGAUAAGAACAAGGGGUUUGGCUGAAUUCUAAUGGUUCAUUCUCAUUCAUGAAAGAAAGCAAGGGUAAUUAUCCUGAAAAGAAGGAAAAAGGACGCGUAGGAGGAGGCUCCAUAAGACAGGGAUAUUGUAAGCCGAUAUUGCUGUUUUUACCUGAAUUACGAAGUGAAAGAAGCCGAUCUUGCUCUUUUGACCUCAUUUGGCUCUAGGAUAAAAUCACACAAUUACGGAGUGAAAAAAAGAAAGAUUAUACUUGCUUUCUCAAAUUCUUUGAGCAUCGACCGCCUUGAUUUUCUUCUUUUAUGAGGCACAAAAAGAAAGAAUGUCAUCGCAUAUUUCAUUGCACCGCGGAGUGGGUUCCAUUCUUCCCGCUCCCUUCUCGUACGCCUAAGACAAUAUCCAUUCUUCCCGCGUAGUGCUUUCUUUAUUUCUAGUCCUCCGUCCAAACAAACCGAGCACCUUUCGCUCUUUCGCAAUAUUCUUUGCUCCUACCGGUCCUCAGUCCUAUCCAUUAGAGAAUUUGAUGAGGAGGAGAGAAAAUCUUCUUUUCACCUUUCUAGUCGGACUAGAAAUCCAUUAUUUUGCACUUCUUUAUCAAGCUUAAUCUGUGGACUUGAUUUAUGGGGUGAUGAGACAUGCCCUUGUCGAGCUUCGAUAAUUCUUGAGAAUAUGAAUUCACCGCUCCUCUUGAGGCUGAAUGAAUAUGAAUAUGAGAAAGAAUUUGAUGUUUUUCUUUCUCACGCAAUAUGCUUUGCGCCAUCAAAGAAAGGUCCAGGGUCCGGAGUCCGCAGUCCGCAGUCCGGAGUCCGCAGGGCCAAAGAAAGGUCCAGGGUCCUACGUCCGCAGUCCGCAGGAUUUAUCCGUAGGACUAUCCAUAUGGAAGUAGUCCGGAGGAUUUAUCCGUAGGACCAUCCGUAAUUAACAGAAGCAGGCGAUCAGAAUGAUCGGAGUGCAAGUAAAGAAAUCCAUAUUUGUGGAUAAGAGAGGUCCUUCGGACUGGACCCUUUCUAAAUUGAAAAUUCACCAAUGGCGUCAUAAGGUGGUGCAUGGGUUCAUUCUUAGUCAAAGACGGACAACGACACACCAGGACCCAUGGAGGAUGAAAUGAGAGACCGCUAGGGAUGAGGAAUGAACUCGCCGUUUAGGAUGAUGAAUUGAGUUGCUCGACCCGUAGUUUAGCAAUUAGUGGAAUUAACAAGUCCUCCGGUUCCCGCAAUAUUCUUUGCUCCUCACUAUUUAGCGGAAACUGCUUUAUAAGGGAUCAUGACGGAUAUUAUUGGAAUCAGACUCAAGAGGAGCGGUCUCGAAAUAUUCUUUGCACCGCACCGUGGGGGAGGCGCCAUAAGACAGGGAUAUUGUUGACCUCUUAUUUUGAGUUCUUGCUUUCUCUCUAUCUUGAGGCUUCGAACCUUGACGCUUGAUUCUAGUUCACACCGAGUCAACUCUAGCUGCCCGUGAUAGGCAUCCUUCUAAGUCUCAACUUCUUAGUUUAUUCAAUAGAUACCCUCAUUCAGAGGCUUUACGGUCGAGAUCCGAUCCAAGCAAAGAAGGAUUCCUGCUGGGCAGUGGACUUGACUCAAGAGGGAUGGAUGCCGAUUCGAGAAUGCCCUAGCGUGUCUUCCCCGAAAGGCUUUUGAUGCCAUUUCGAAAUGGGCAAGAAGUUUUCUUCUGCAACGAGAGAAGAGAAACUCUCGAUCGGCCGCACUCUGGUCGCGCUUCUCGGGCUGCUAAGGCAUUGAAAGAGACUGAUUUUAUGCGCCUUUCCGGUCUCCGAUCCUGGGACUCGCCUCUCUUUCCUCUCCCUUCCUAUCCCACGGGGUUUGGCACUUUUCUCUGACUCAUUCAAGAGAAAGAGCUCUUCUUUUUCUACUUCCUCUUCUUGCUUAUUAAAUACAUUAUGUCUUUAUUGUACCUUUCUAGUUAGUGAGCUGAGCGGCGCGUAUGAAUAUCAGAGACUGAAGCCGAUCCCUUGUUGAAGAGCAAAGACAGAGCAAGACACCUAGAAGGACCUUGCUGACCCUUGAUCUGCGCCCCCCACUCCGCGGUAAAGCAUCUUCGCACCUCUCACUUACGGGAGAGCAUCUUCGCACCUUGACAUCGAAGAACUCUUGAGAGCUAAGUCCUCUCACUUGAGAAUUCCGGAGUCGAGUUCCUUCGCUUCGGGGAACCCAAGAACCCAACCAAGCAAGGACAAGAGAUCUCAUUCACAGAUACUGGUGCACGAACCCAGUACCCGAAAGGAAGAGCUAACCCAAAGCAAGAAACCUAAGAGGCACCUUGCUCCUUCUUGCUCGUCGUUCUCGGGGAACCCACACCCCCUACCUCUCAUUCUCCUGCUAUGGGGGAAGGACCCAUGCCCCCUGUACCUAAGAGCCUCCUUCUUCCCUCUUCUUGCCAUCUGUUGGACUCAACAACUCUCCUUCUCCUCACCCAAGAACAAUUCAAGGUGCUAGGUGGACCGGACCCUUUCUAUCAUUCCGAAAGCUCCUUUCUUUGCUCAUUUGACCUCUUAUGCCUUCGGGCUGGUACCGAAUUCCCUUGAUGCCUAAUUUCUCUGGCCCUACUUACCACCCUUAUAGCAAGAUAGCUAAUCCAAUCAUGUGAUAAUGGGUGAAUGAAAGCGGGUUUGACUAGUUUGAAUGCUCCAAUCCCAAGUCAAAUGGGAGCAGGUUGGAACCUAGGAGUGGGAUCCACCAUUAGGAAUUCCCAGUUAUCAUGGUUGAGCUAUGAAGUGAAUGGAAUAAAGAGGAACCUACUUACCGAUAGCGAAGCGAAUACUCGUGCAAGCGCAAUCAAUGAAGAAGGGCAGUGGUUUUCUAAAUCAAUGAACGUCCAUAAAUAGGAAGCCUAGGAAGAAAAAGAAGACAAGAGAUCAAUGAACAAGGUUCAAAGAAUAAUAGUAUUCAUGUUUUCAUAGAAAGGAAUAAAAGGAAGAGAACUAGUCCUCCGCGGAGAUAGAGAGAAAGAAGCGUAAUUGAAGGCUGAAAUUUCGUGCAAGUGCAGAGGCAAGGCUCAUUAUCGAAGAAAGCCUAUCCAACUUUCUCUCUUAUGUUUUGAAUUCCACCGCGGGAGUCAGACAGGGAAAAGACAGAGUCAGAGGUCCCAGAUAGGAGCGAAGUAGCUUUACCCAUAUUCAUAAGUUAGAAGCAGCUAUUUUGAAGUUUGAUAGGUAGGAGACAAGAGGGAAAGGCCCACCCAGGAGAGGAGUUCUGAAUAUCGGAUUAUGACUUUCGCAGAGAGAAAGAGGAUUUAUUUAGAAAAGAGCUUCAACCUAUUCUUAGCCCAAGCAAUAGGCGCCGCCAUUCUUUGAAUUAAUUCAUUAAGGAAGAAGAAAUUGAAAAAUCAUAAGUUCAUUCUAGCUCUUUCUGCUGACUUCUUCUGAUUGAGAAAACCCAGGGCAAGCCUUGUAGUCGGCUGGUAAAGGUCUGGCAGAGUAUCAACGGAGAACAAGCUGAAAGAGGAACUUUUCAUUGUGCGGGAAGACGUAUAAUAUGGACUGAAUUCAUAAGCUCGAGUCAGACUUUCAGUGCGAAUUCUCUUUUUUUUCAUGGUUUUGACAUAGCAUAGGCUGAAUGGAAAUUCCUUCUAUCUUGAAAUUCUAUUCUAAGUCGCUUCCCUUCUUCUCUCAACUGCUACAACUCUCCGUCUUCUGAUGUUCCGCUCCGUCGCAAAUUCUUUGGUCCUCCUACGCUUAAGAUGGGACCGGCAAGACCCUGCAAUAUGAAAAGCGCCUGUCUCGCCUCUCCUUUCAGUCGAGAGCCUCCUUCUUCUUCUUUAAAAAGAAGGGUCCAGGUUUCAUAAGACUCCUUCUACGCGGUCUCGCCCAGCUUUUGAAAGAGAAAGGGCGGGCCUCUCGGGAGGAAGCAUAUGGUAAUGGGAAUUCCGCCCACCUACUAUGCCUUCUUCCCUACAAAACGGGGAGGAUAAUUCCACUGAUAGUAAAAGGAUGCCGGAUCGAGCGAGUUAGGGUGGGAAAGAAAUAGGGAUUCUUUGGAAGGAAGAUAGCUCCAGGUAAAGCUACUCAUCAACCUCCUCCUAAACUCAUUUGUACGAGGGGAACCGCGGAGGGAGUGGGCAAAUGCCUUCUUUCUUAGUGAGAAUCUCGUUUUUAGUGAAGCCCAAGGCAGCAUGAUUUCUUCUUUGAACCUCUCUUUGGGCAGAAAGAACUGGCGAGACCAUUUUGAUCCAUUGAAUUGUUGGGGAAGCAGAAAGGUAAAGGUAAGAGUCCGCUCGAUCAAUCCCCACUACGCGGUAAGCUGAAAGAUGCGAUCUGGCCGUCGGCCUAUUUCUUGAUUUCUUUCUUUGACUUUUACGUGGGAUGCAAACUAAACCAUUAGCACAGGCAUUCCAGGCAAUGAUUCGACUUCUUAUCUUGGGGAUUCAACCCCUAUUUAUUUAUGGAUGUUCAUUGAGCGAAGGACUGAUUAAUUCCACUGAUUUCUAACGCAAUAUUCUUUGCUCCUAGCAAAAACUCAAAUUUCAUUCAGCCUUCUGACUGUCCAUAUUAAAUUAAGGAACUGAGUAGGCGGGAGAGAAAGCAAUAGCUCCACCUGUUCGGGAUAGGAAUUCAGGAGAGACCAACUCUCCUCUACUUAAAGUAGCUGCGGCUGUUGAAGGAUCCGUUGAAGCUCUUGAAGCAGAGGUCUUCUUCGACUCCUUCCUUCCUGAAUGAAUGAUAAGGGGCUUCUUUCCUAAUUCAAAGCCUAGGACAAUGAAUGAAUUGCCUUUCCCCUCCCAAUUAAAUUAAUUAACAAAGACUAUAAACAACCUACGGAAAACCAUAGUAUUAAUCAAAGACAAAAAGAAGAAAGCCUAGGAUCAACCCAGAUCCAUUGACAAGAAAGCGCAACUUCGCAAUAUUCUUUGCACCUCCUAACCUAACCAUUAACAACCACUAGAUAAAGACCUCCGGAGCGGUGGAAUAUCGAGGUCCUUUCAGAAAGCCUAAAGAUGAAAUAAAAGGAUAGGCUUUCAGUAUUAUUUUGAGGUUUCAAGUCCCGCAACAAGGCUCCAUAAGACAGGGAUAUUGUAAGGGGUCCAGAUGAGUCAGAAACAUUGAGACCAGGCGCAAAGAAUUUGCGAAGGAACCGAGAAAUGAAAGCGAAAACGAAUAGUCCAAAAACCAAGGCGCAAAGAGCGACGUAGUGCUUUCUUUAUUAAUCCUUCUCCGCCGCAACAAGAGAAGUUCUAGGAUACCGAUAUACCGCAAGAAUGCAAUUCCAUAAACAAGUCGGGAAAUAGAGGGUUGGACUAGCUAGCCGCCCAAUAACUCACAGGUCUUUCUUUCCUUAUUCAUAUCAGAAGCAGAAGAAAGGGAAGAGGAUAAAGUCAUCAAGGAAAAAUCAUGGCAAUAUUCUUUGAACCUCCGGACUAUCCAUAUUAGGCGGACUUCGCCUUAAGACUCCUUGCUAUUGGGUCCGACUAGAAACUGAAAGUAGGAAAGCCUAUCUUUCUCUUUCAGACUCUUUAAAGUCAAGAGGGUAAAGCAUAUUCUAAGCUCUCCCUUUAGCUCUCGCACAAGACCCCUUUAUUUAUGGAUGUUCAUUGAGCCUUGUUCAUUGACUUGAUGCGGUAGGCGAAGAAGCCAUCCAGUAGCAAGCGCUUGAGAAUGAGUCGAAGGCAAAAUCCUUCCGUUUUUGUUUUGAGUAGGCGCUAUCUAAGUCAAUCCGUGCUAAAAGGAAGGAAUAGAAAAGGAAGCCUUGGGCAUAAUAGUCAGAGAGAGUAAGGGAAGUCCUGCUUUCAAGUGCUUUAUCGUAAGGGUCUGAAUAGGGUCCACCAGUAGCUGCUCUUAGUAAGACCAGUCACAGGGAUAUAUCGCUCAAAAUUCAAUAUCAAAGAGAUUGCAUUGAUACUUAGACUGAUAGCGAGCCGGAAGAGCAAAGUGAUGAAUCAGUCGAGACAGUCUUAGCUAUAAUCUCUGCCCUUACCGUGGAGUGGGUAUCUUUUCUCGUCUGAAAAGAGAAUAGUCUUCCUCUCUUUGUGAAUUUGCAGGUUUGAGAUUAGAAUGCCAUACUCACCCUGCAACUUACAGAAUCCGCAGCGAAAGAAAAGAUUCAAUCUUAUUCGUAAUGCUGGCUAAGAGAUUUUCGAUUCAGGGCGGGAUGGGACUGUAAAAUGGGUGAGGUAGGGUCUAAUCUUCGCUCUACGAGAGAAAGCUGAAAGGCCCGCUAAAAGUUGGAGAAGGAGCGAAAGAUAUCACGAAAUACCUUGAUCAAAGAGCAGACCCAAGGAAGGGAGUGCUUCGAUUCCCUUUAGCUCUUAGCUCUACGGAUGACUAAGAAGGCAGGAUCAAAGCGGGUGAGAGCAGGAGCACUGCUCGUCCUGGCAUAGCCGUAUGAUUUCGUCACAGAUUGUAUUCUCUCAUCCCGGCUUGUAAUGGCGAAAGCUAGAUUUCAUGGACCAGGUUGCCCUUUUUAUUCUUUCAAAGACUAUUACAAAGAUUACUCUCCGUCGCACUCACGGUCAUUAGUCUGGUUAGCUCUUCCUGAUAGGUUGAAAAGGAUGAAAGCCUUCUGACUUUCCUGACCCAUAGUCAGAUUUUUCAUACUCUGGAAAUCAGAUAAAAAGGUGAAAAGAAUAUUGACGGUUGGGUUCCUGGACAAAAAGGAUGAAAGUCGAGAAUUUCUUGGGUCCAUGUGAGCUAAGAGGUUUCUGAUGAGUGGUAGAGCAGUUGAUCUAAGCCUCAGUGCGGAUGAUGAAUUCUCUGACACAUGGCCAUCUUCCCUCUUAUUAAAAAGAAAAAGCCUACUUUGCUUUUCGGGUAUUGAGCUCACUGGGAAGCCUUCGCUUGAACCCUCAUUGCUACCGUCCUUUGACUUCACGGAAGAUUUGGUAUCCAACCUCUACCUUUUUUGGUUGGCAUUCCCAUUAUUCUUUCUACUCGUCUUCUUGGACUGGACUUCGGUGACGAAGGGAUCGAAGAUUUGGAUGAUCCAAGGUCGCGGCCUCCCAAGUUCUGCUGAUUGCCUGAUAUGGCUAAAUUCGAUGGUUCUGGAGAUCCCAAAGCCCCUAUAUUUCAGAAUAUCUUCUUGCGAUGAAGACCACUACUCUCAUCACGAAGGAGCGCAUUUCCUUCUUUGCUCUCUUUUUGGAAGGAGGAGCAAUGCGGUGGUACUAUAGCUUGGAUGCCAAGAUAGAGGUGGGGCGAGAUGGCCGAAAUCCGGAGCAAUUUGGAUACAAUGUCCAGCUUGAUCUUACUUUGCCUGAACACUACCAGGCGGCUCCCAAAGAUCUUCUUCAUUCAUUUCCAGAUGGAGUGGACCUCUUGCAAGCCUUCGCAAGCCUGCGCAGGGUAUCCCUAUUAUAGUGGGACAAGCCAGGUUCCUUCGUCAGUAAGGAAGAGACCGAGCCGUAGUAUAGUCCUUGAUGUGGUAAAUCUUCCUAGCCCCGGUAUUACGCAAAAUGUAGGAGUAUCCUAGCUUGCAGAAGAAGAAAAGAAAGAAGAUCUAGCCCAUAGUAAUCUAAUAGGAUUUACUCAUCAUAAAAAGGAAAGAAAGAUUUCCUUAAUCUAUUGAUAUUAGAAUAUUGAAGGGAUUUAUCCCCAAGAAUAUCCCGUCCUUCGGACAGACGGGUUAAUAUGGAUAGUCCUUCGGACUGGCACAAAAGUCAAUCAAAGAAAAUCAGAAUGAACUCAUUAACGAGAAUGAAAGAAUCAUUAAGAAAUGAAAGAAGAAUUAUGAAUCUGCUAGAUUUCAGACUAGUCCUUCGCGGAGUGAAAUCCCGGAAAAUGCUAGGUUUUGCCCAUAGGGAAGUAGCAAGAAAUCAAGUCAAAUGCCUUCUUUUUCACUCAAUUAUCGUUAUUUAUCAAUAUGAGAAAAAGUCCUAUUUAGAAGCAAAAAAGCCGGGAAAUAGCAAGGCAUUGUCCUAUUUGAUUUUCGAAAUUCACAUAGUUUGAUUCUUGUUUGAGUUUAUGGUCCGGAGAAUUACGGGUCUAUUCUUGAUUCCGCUCCUGAAUAUGGAUAGUCCUCCUUCCUUCCAUAUGGAUGGUCCUACUUCGGUUAAUUACGGAUGGUCCUACGGAUAAAUCCUCCGGACUACUUCCCUCCAUAUGGAUGGUCCUACGGAUAAAUCCUCCGGACUACGGAUAAAUCCUGCGGACUCCGGACUCCGGACUACUUCUGUUAAUUACGGAUGGUCCUACGGAUAAAUCACCUGGACCUUUCUUUGGCCCUGCGGACGUAGGACCCUGGACCUUUCUUUGAUGGACUUCUUUAUCCAUUAGUCGUUAGGCGCAAAG